UACAUGGGGUGCAAACGUUGCUCGGAAUCAUUGGGCGUAAAGCGCACGUAGGCGGUUACUUAAGUCGAAUGUGAAAGCCCUCGGCUUAACCGAGGAAGUGCAUCCGAAACUGAGUAGCUAGAGUACGAAAGAGGGUCGCGGAAUUCCCGGUGUAGAGGUGAAAUUCGUAGAUAUCGGGAGGAACACCGGUGGCGAAGGCGGCGACCUGGGUCGAGACUGACGCUGAGGCGCGAAAGCGUGGGGAGCAAACAGG
rnacentral:rRNA from 1 species